rnacentral:lncRNA from 1 species
GCAGCACAGGCUCUAUUCAGCGGCGCUGGCUGGAGCUGAGAUGGAAGUUAGUUUCUAUGUAGCAGAAAUAUGAAACAAAUGAAGCAAAACUGCCCAGAGAGGGGAAAUGCCCCAAGGAUGGGUCUCACUCACGCGCGUACACAGACACACACGCAGAGAGCACUCUCACGCUGGGCAAGCUCGGGAUCGCGCUACCCUUCCCGAGUUGAAUGAUAGUGUUUGGUUUCUGUCUCUUGCCAUGUGCAUGUGUAUAAAUGCUGCGGAUUGGCAUCUGUGUAAGUCUUGUCCUGCGUUAUUUCUGCAGCCUAUGCAAGUGUUGUGUAAUUUAUUGGAGUGCUGUAUAUUGCAAUAGAGGUUUGGGCUGCUUUUUGUUAAGCACUUGCGUUUUGCAAACCCGUUAUUUGCUGAAGCCACCUCUGCAUAUUUCUUUUAUUACUGCCAUUGCCUUUGGCGUACGUUUUUUAAAUGUUUUUUAUUGUUAAACGGGCAAAGCGAACUCUUGAUUUGUACUUCAGAUACUCUUUUUCCUUAUUACAAAAAGGCUAGUGAUGGCUAAUUAGGUAUUUGGAAUUAAAGAACCUUAAAGCUUUUUUAAGUGUUUACGAGAAGGGAGAAUGUAAACCUGAGGGAAAGGAAAGGACGCUAAUAUUCAUGUCUAACUGAUCUGGAGGUAAUUUAGUGACAGAUCGAUAACCUGCCUAAGGAUAUUGAAAGAGUAUACUACAGUUUAGCCAAGUUAAUCACGGGAAGACUUCUUGAAAACUGACGAAAA